GACUUUAGCCCUGAUGUGUCUCGGGAAAUUCACUCACCUGGAAGGAGCAAUAAAGGGUUCUCGGGUUGCCGUCAGCGGAUCUGCCAAAAGCCGGGAGAAAAACCUCUCUCCCUGUUGCCUGAAGCAGAUUUACAGGGCUUCAGACCUCGCUGGAGAGUAGACCCUGCUGCGACUCAGGAAACCACGCCCAGCCCCAGGCUGCAGUAGGAAGGGGCUGGGGGGAAGAAUGGGACCCUCUGUGACUGCAGGAAAACUGAGUCUUGAACCUCGCCUCAGUUGAAAGGAGAGGAUGGAAGGGGGCUCCUGCAGACUGCUGCUGACCCGAAGAAGAAUCUGAGUUAUGUCUCAGCAACUGAACAAACAUUUACAUUUGUCACCAAAAAAACCAAAACACAAAAACCCUUAAAACUAAACUUAAAAGUUCUGGGGAGAAAAAAAGAGAGGGAAUCAGGUCUUUUCUUGUUUCCCAAGGCAGGAGUCGGACGUGGGGAGCAGCCGAUGCAGAAGACAUAAGAGCAGGAGGUGCGUGUGCUGAUUAAACUAAAUGCACACCUAAGACUCUGGUUUUUCUGAAGAUGUGUGUGCCGGAGAGCCGGAGGAAGAGAGAGAGCGAAGCAAAGCGUCCUUGAAUUUGCUCCAGUCUCUCAUAUCACUCUGACUUAGAAAAAACAGAGAGAAGGCAGACCCAUGUCUAUCACAGACAAACCCCUUUUCUUAUUCAAAAAGAGGAAUUUUUAAAAACAAAUUUUUCUCUAAUGAGAUAGAGUUUUCACAACGGGAGGAUUUUGGAAGACAGAUUAUUUUUAGUAGAUUUAUUUAACGCUCUUUUGAAAGUGUGAUUUUUUUUUCAAAAUAGCUUAAGAUGUUAAAGAAUCCAAAGUCAGGACUGGUAUUAGGCACUAACUGGAUGCUAUUUUUCUUUUAUUUUCAUAUCUGUUCCUCUGUUCUUCAUUAUUAAAUUCUAGGGAUAAACACAAGCUCUUUUUCUUUUUCCUACUCAAGGCAGGAAGACUGAGGGAAAGCCUGCUAAA
rnacentral:lncRNA from 1 species